rnacentral:snRNA from 1 species
GUACUCACUUUGGAUGCACAUAUACUAGAAUUGGAACAAAAGAGAUUAGCAUGGCCCCUACAUAGGAUGACACACAAAUUCACCGUUUAAUAUUUUU